ACUUUUGCAGCUAAGCCAUACUGAUGUAUGUACACAAAAUCAAAAGAAAAAUCUGCAUAAUACAAAAGCAAGUAGCAGCUCUUUUUUUCUUUCCUUCCCCUGUAACCAAGACCAUACCAUAGUACAAGUAGGUGGUCAUUCCACCAUACCCUAUGCUGCCUACACCAUCUUUCAAACCCAUGAGAGUAACAACCACCAACUUCACUCCUUAUAAUAUCACCCACCAAAUCCUUCUCUCUUUACGCAUCAACAACUUGAGGAAGUUGUCAUAGUUGCUGCAAGAUUCGAGAGCUAUCUUCUCAUUGAACUCAACAUCACCGCAGCCAACCCAAAAGCACAAACAUUCGCAAGGUCAAGAGCGAGAGUAAGAGCUACUCAAGGAGUCACAGUACCUUAGAAAAGCUUUGCUAUCAGGUUGAGCUGUGAUGGACGAUGAAGUGUUGCUGAGUGGAGCUUUUGUCGAACUGAAAUUAGGCUCAGAAAGGAUAUAUGUCUGCAUACAUGUAUCUUAGUUAUGUCUUCCGCUGCAAACACUGAUUAUGUUUUAGUCAAGUCUAUAAUUAUGCCAAUUACUCUUCAAAGAAAUAUCUAAUGCUUACUCAGGUUCAUCGAGUAUCCUUUUUAAUUA